rnacentral:tRNA from 1 species
GUGUGACUGACCCUGCCUGGUGGUGGGUACUGGCUUCAAACCAGUGGGCGACUAGCGUCGCAGUGGUUCAAUUCCACCUGUCGCAC